rnacentral:rRNA from 1 species
GACGCUGGCGGCGUGCCUAACACAUGCAAGUCGAACGGUAACAGGACUUCGGUCGCUGACGAGUGGCGCACGGGUGAGUAACGCGUGGAUAUCUACCUAUGGGUGGGGGACAACUACGGGAAACCGUAGCUAAUACCGCAUACGACCUACGGGUGAAAGCGGGGGACCUUCGGGCCUCGCGCCGAUAGAUGAGUCCGCGUCUGAUUAGCUAGUUGGUAGGGUAAAGGCCUACCAAGGCGAUGAUCAGUAACUGGUUUGAGAGGAUGAUCAGUCACACUGGAACUGAGACACGGUCCAGACUCCUACGGGAGGCAGCAGUGGGGAAUUUUGCACAAUGGGCGCAAGCCUGAUGCAGCGACGCCGCGUGCGGGAAGAAGGCCUUAGGGUUGUAAACCGCUUUCAAUUGGGAAGAAGGGAUGAAGGUUAAUAACUUUCUGACUUGACGGUACCUUUAGAAGAAGCACCGGCUAAUUUCGUGCCAGCAGCCGCGGUAAUACGAAAGGUGCAAGCGUUGUUCGGAUUUACUGGGCGUAAAGAGAUCGUAGGUGGUUUGUUAAGUUGGAUGUGAAAUCCCGGGGCUCAACCUCGGAACUGCAUCCAAAACUGGCAGACUAGAGUUCGGGAGGGGUAAGCGGAAUUCCGUGUGUAGCAGUGAAAUGCGUAGAUAUACGGAGGAACACCAGAGGCGAAGGCGGCUUACUGGACCGAUACUGACACUGAGGAUCGAAAGCGUGGGUAGCAAACAGGAUUAGAUACCCUGGUAGUCCACGCCCUAAACGAUGUCAACUAGUCGUUGCGGGUAUUGACCCCUGCAGUGACGCAGCUAACGCAUUAAGUUGACCGCCUGGGGAGUACGGUCGCAAG